rnacentral:rRNA from 1 species
AAAGGAAUAGACGGGGGCCCGCACAAGCAGCGGAGCAUGUGGCUUAAUUCGAAGCAACGCGAAGAACCUUACCAGGGCUUGACAUUCAGGUGAAGCGGCGGAAACGUCGUGGCCGAAAGGAGUCUGAACAGGUGGUGCAUGGCUGUCGUCAGCUCGUGUCGUGAGAUGUUGGGUUAAGUCCCGCAACGAGCGCAACCCUUGUCGCAUGUUGCCAGCAAGCAAUGUUGGGCACCCAUGCGAGACCGCCGGCGUUAAGCCGGAGGAAGGUGGGGACGACGUCAAGUCAUCAUGCCCCUUAUGUCCUGGGCCGCACACGUGCUACAAUGGCCGGCACAGCGGGUUGCCACUGCGCGAGCAGGAGCGAAUCCCUAAAGCCGGUCCCAGUUCGGACUGGAGGCUGCAACUCGCCUCCACGAAGUCGGAGUUGCUAGUAAUCGCGGAUCAGCACGCCGCGGUGAAUGCGUUCCCGGGCCUUGUACACACCGCCCGU